rnacentral:rRNA from 1 species
GCUGGCGGCGUGCCUAAUACAUGCAAGUCGAGCGAAUGGAUUAAGCGCUUGCUCUUAUGAAGUUAGCGGCGGACGGGUGAGUAACACGUGGGUAACCUGCCCAUAAGACUGGGAUAACUCCGGGAAACCGGGGCUAAUACCGGAUAACAUUUUGAACUGCAUGGUUCGAAAUUGAAAGGCGGCUUCGGCUGUCACUUAUGGAUGGACCCGCGUCGCAUUAGCUAGUUGGUGAGGUAACGGCUCACCAAGGCAACGAUGCGUAGCCGACCUGAGAGGGUGAUCGGCCACACUGGGACUGAGACACGGCCCAGACUCCUACGGGAGGCAGCAGUAGGGAAUCUUCCGCAAUGGACGAAAGUCUGACGGAGCAACGCCGCGUGAGUGAUGAAGGCUUUCGGGUCGUAAAACUCUGUUGUUAGGGAAGAACAAGUGCUAGUUGAAUAAGCUGGCACCUUGACGGUACCUAACCAGAAAGCCACGGCUAACUACGUGCCAGCAGCCGCGGUAAUACGUAGGUGGCAAGCGUUAUCCGGAAUUAUUGGGCGUAAAGCGCGCGCAGGUGGUUUCUUAAGUCUGAUGUGAAAGCCCACGGCUCAACCGUGGAGGGUCAUUGGAAACUGGGAGACUUGAGUGCAGAAGAGGAAAGUGGAAUUCCAUGUGUAGCGGUGAAAUGCGUAGAGAUAUGGAGGAACACCAGUGGCGAAAGCGACUUUCUGGUCUGUAACUGACACUGAGGCGCGAAAGCGUGGGGAGCAACAGGAUUAGAUACCCUGGUAGUCCACGCCGUAAACGAUGAGUGCUAAGUGUUAGAGGUUUUCCGCCCUUUAGUGCUGAAGUUAACGCAUUAAGCACUCCGCCUGGGGAGUACGGCCGCAAGGCUGAUACUCAAAGGAAAUGACGGGGGCCCGCACAAGCGUUGGAGCAUGUG